CCUGCUCUCAGCCUCCCCCUGAGAGGGCGGGAGCGAGAGCAUCUGCAGGGUGAGCACCAGCCGCAAGGUCGCAGCACCUGCCCAGCUCCCCUGCCGCGGCUCCCCUGCCGCCCAGAGCCCGCGGCCGCCAUGAGGCUCCUGCUCCUCCUCUUCCUCCUCCUCGCAUGGCUGAGCCCGCCGGCACCAGGGUAUGCAAAGAGGAUGCAAAACCGUGAAUGUGCAAACAUGGGCGGUGCUUGCAAGCACCAAAAAACCCAUGGAUGCUCCAUCCUGCCUGCGGAGUGCAAGGGUCGGAGGAAGCACUGCUGCAGACUCUGAUUCUGCUCAAUAAAACCACCGCAUGCUCGCGGCAGCCUCUGGACUUCUGAGGGGGGCGGAUGUCGGCUUCUCAGACCUGCAGGGGAAUUGAGGUGCUGGCUUCGGCCACAUCCUAAGGCAC